rnacentral:rRNA from 1 species
GAGAUGUUGGGUUAAGUCCCGCAACGAGCGCAACCCUUAUUGUUAGUUGCUACCAUUUAGUUGAGCACUCUAGCGAGACUGCCGUGGUUAACGCGGAGGAAGGUGGGGAUGACGUCAAAUCAUCAUGCCCCUUAUGUCUAGGGCUACACACGUGCUACAAUGGCUGGUACAAAGAGAUGCAAUACCGUGAGGUGGAGCUAAACUAUAAAACCAGUCUCAGUUCGGAUUGUAGGCUGAAACUCGCCUACAUGAAGCUGGAGUUGCUAGUAAUCGCGAAUCAGAAUGUCGCGGUGAAUACGUUCCCGGGCCUUGUACACACCGCCCGUCACACCAUGAGAGUUGGCAAUACCCAAAGUUCGUGAGCUAACCCGUAAGGGAGGCAGCGACCUAAGGUAGGGUCAGCGAUUGGGGUGAAGUCGUAACAAGGUAGCCGUAGGAGAACCUGCGGCUGGAUCACCUCCUUUCUAUGGAGA